ACAACACGAAGUGAAAUAAAUAAUAAAUAAAUUAGCAUARCACAAAAUGUACACUUCUACGUACAAACAUAUAUAUUGAAAUAGAAAAUGUUCAUUCUAAACUACCAACAACAAAAUCAAAAUCUAAAGUAUUGCAACAAAUAGAUGAACAGCAAUUUAUGUGAGUACAUUCAUAUAAACUAAGCCAAUAUUAACACAUAAGUGAGCCAAUUGCAAACGUUUUGCUUAUAUUUUACAAUAGCAUAUCAUACAGCGCUCCUUCAUAGCCUACCCGAAGGCGCAACAACGCACGGGGAGGCUGAGCGCGAGUUUUACCAAUUCAUUUUACAAUAGCUAACGGUUGAUGGUAUGACUGAGAUGAACUGCGGACGUCAGAGACAUCGAAGUCAUACCAUUACCACAAGGGAACCAAGGUGACUGAAGCUGGCUGGGUAGCACCCUCGAUACUUGUACCAUAGCGGGCGACCUAUGCCAGCAAAUCAGUCGUAGUUACAACAACCAUAUUAGUUUCAAAUAUAUUUGAGUUGUAUUAAUACAAUAACAAAUCUUUACGUUAGAAACGUCAAUACAAUCGUUUUUCUUUAUGUUAAAACCAGACCGAACCCGAAAACUACGUUAAUAUUGAAAUGAGUUUCAACACAUACAUAUAGGAAGUUCAUUAAGUGCUGGGAGCUCAAUAGAGCAUUUCGCAUUUGAACGAACUACCCAACGAUUUGCACACAUAUGGGUGCAUGUAAGUCAAGCUUACACUUCAAGUUUAAACUGGCUCCAUUCUACCGUGACAGAUGUCUGAGCUUUCAAUCAUUAAAUGCCAGUACCAGGACUUUCUAUAUGCGGAGAAAGCUAGAUGAACAAACAAUCCAACAGUAAAUCAAGGAACAUCAAAAAGAAGUCAUACAAUUAUUUUUUUCUUUAUAUAUUAUGAUUUUGUAAGUAUUAUGAGUUCAAACAACAAACACAUUGGCCCUUAAGAAUUUUUGUUUGAAAAGGAAGAACGUUAUAAAAACAAAAUAAUCAAUUAAUUAUUUCCAACAAUAGUGCCGAAAUAUUUCUACAAAGAAUAUUAUUAUGAAAUAAGCAUUUUAUAAGGUUAAUGUGUAGUUAAAGAAAUUAACAACAUAAAUGCAAUGUAGGAGUUUAAGACAAGCUAAUUAAACAAGAAUUUAAUUAAAAUAAAUGAAAAAAAAACGAAAAACAAAAUAGAAAAACUAUUAAAAACCCUUAUAAGCAAAGCUGAAAAUGCUGCAUGCAACUGAACAUUGAACAUUUUGAAACUGUUUGUUUGCGAAUUUCAGAAAAAAGGAGUAAAUCUUCCAAAAAAUAUGAAUGCAAUAAGUGAAACAUUAUAAUACAGUCAUUUGAACAUAAACAGACACCAAAUAACACAACCAUAUAUAACAAUAUUCUUACUAGGUACGUAGGUAAAGUAAGUAUGUAUACUUAAUAUAUUAUUGCUUGCCAUAUAAACAGUAGCUGAUAUUCAAAAUUUAACAAAUUGAGAGAAAUACGAAUUUUUAAGCGAAAUAACUGAAAAGCUAUGCCAAUUAGUAAUACUUACAGCAAAAACUGUUAUCCAAUAUUUUAUAUAUGUUAUCUUGGCAAAUAUUAAGUCCUUAGUUUGAAACUUCAUGCAUUAAAAACUAAGUGGAAUAUUUUAUUCAACUUUAUACAUAAAAUCAAAUUAUGAUCCAACUGCUUCUGUUUCAAAAUCAGGCGUAUCUGAAAAAAUUUUAUUUCACUUAAAAGCUUGGGCUACAAAUGAAAUUCCAAAUCAGCACAUAAUCUCUCUCAAUUUGCAAUCAAUGAAAAAUAAACUCAUUCCUACAUUAACUCAUAUUUCAUAAGACAACAGAAAACAUAUAUCAAAAUAAUAGAUUCGUUUAUAAGCUAAACGCAUUGGCAAGGCAAUGUAAUACAUAAAAAUAUAACCAACCGACAGGAAAAAAUACAGCGAUGGUUGCCCAAAGAGAAGCGAACAGCAAACAGUGAACCACAAUGACAUUGGAUUAAGUUCAGCAUACCCAAUUACUCAAAAAUAUCAAAACACUUACAAAACAACACCAGAAAACAGAAAUAAAUACUUACUAAAUCCGAUAUGAUUCCUUCCCUCAAUAAAAUCGUAUAUAUUCUAUAAAAAAUCAUAUAUACAGUAUUAAAGGCAUCAGUGAAAUCAUAACAAGACCAUGUAGCGAAAAAUAUUCGUCACGCUACAAAUACACCACAUACUACAUAUGUAGAACUUAUAUUUUGAACAACAGUUAUUAUUUGGCUUUUAUAAAGGAACAUAUUGACACAUUUUAUGCGAUAAAUCGUUAAAUCAAAUCGUUUCUUAAUCAAAAGAAUUAUGAUGCUGGCGUCAGGUCGUCAUUUCAAAGUAAGAUGAAAGGCAAAUGAAAUCUUCGCGAAGUACACACGACAUGCGUAGUUAAUGAAAAUAAUACAGGAGUAUCGCUAUGUAUUUAGCAAUCGCCAACACAAAAUAUCAUAGGUUAUGUACUUCAAAUAUGGAUGUCAUUCUGUGUAUGUAUCAGAAUUCAAAGCAAACACUUACUUGUUGUAUAACUCCUGAUAAGAGAUUUCUCUAGCUUUUUUACAUUAAUACACAUACAACGAUUGAGGUAAAUAAUAUUUUUAUUUGGAAAAUCAAGGUAUUUCUUAAAAUACCACACAAAUCAUAAAGAAAUAACCUAGAAUGCACGAAAUUACAUAUUUUGGCUAAAUGAAGUUAAAACACCAAGCAAUUCCAGUUUGACUGAACUGAAUAAUUUACAUACAUUACCACUUAAUCUUUCGUAAUUUUCUAACUCCGAACUGACUGAUAUAUGAUAUGCAUAUAUGAAUAUGUUUUAAAAUGUCGCUAAAUGUUUGCUAAGCAAUAUAAAGGAAUUAAUCAGUACAUUGGACCGUAUGUCAUUCCAUUUUGAAUUAUGUGUACACUUCCUAUGCACAGAAGAAUAAGCACAUUGGUAUGUAUGGCUUUCAUUUUCAAUGCUUCUUUUUGGUUCUAGUCAAUCUGGAAUUGUGUGUAUUGAGUAUGUAAAUGUUUAAAUUUUUACGACUUAUCUAAGUAUGUUUUUAGACAUUAAUUUAUUUUUCUGUUUUUGUCAGUUUUUUUAUGAUUCCCUCAUGAAUUUCGUAUAAAUAUUAACACGAUUUAGAAGGCAUUGUACAUAUAUGUAUGUAUACAAUGUAUAAGUUUUGAUAAUAAAAAUUUCGGCUUGAAAUAAAGAUUUUGGCAUAAAUUCGUUAUAUUAGAUAGUUCAAGGAAAGAAGGAGAAAGUUAUGAUAAAAUAAGUAAUAUUAAUAUAAACUUCCGUGGACUAAAACUAAAAUAUAAUAAAAAUAAAUAAGCAAAAGUGGCUUCUGAACAAAUACGUAAGAAAGAUGAACCAACUUUUGAUAACAAAAAAGCAAUCCUGGACAUAACUUUGGCAAAUCUUUGUGAAAAAUGUGAACAUUUAGAAGUGAUGAAAACUCCCGGACUUAAUGAUAAAUAACAAAAAAUGAGACAAAUCUAAAAUGAUUGAGAAAACGUAAGAGAUUAUGAAAUCUACCAGACCCCGGAUGUUCUUAACGGAUGUAGAGAGCGCGACAUCUAUUGCUUAAGGGAGACGUUGGAGGGUGUAUACACAAAAAAAACAAAAAAAACUUAAUGUAGUUGAACUAAUUUAAAUGAAUUAUAACCUAAAUUAACUUUAAUUGAUAUGUUUAGGUGUAAGAUGUAAAACUAGUAAGAAACACGAGAACUUUCGGUAAUGUUCCUAUAUAUUAUAUGAGUAUAGCGAGUAUACAAUUAAAGGAAACUGACAAUUUAGAAGUACUUUUAGGCACUUUAGGUACAUUUUCGGACUUGAAUGUUGAAACAAAUAAACAAAAACAAAAUAAAAAAAUACGAAAAAGAAUAAUAGAAAUUUACAAAAUUUUGAAGGAACAAAAAUAAGCAAAAGCUAUUUGAUACAAAAAAUAUAAAUUUGUAUUACAUCCUCUGGCGUACAGCUCCGACAUCUAAGAAUCUUCAGCUAAACAUGUCAACAGAACAUAUGUAUGUUUGACAUUGGAAAUCCAGCUAGGACUCGUUAAACAAAAAUCACAGAAAAUUUGUGAACAUUUUCAAAAGUAAACUUUGAAAUAUUCAAUAUUAUAAUUUACAGGCAGAAUUUUCAUAUUUUUUGAUUGACCACCAGCUUCAGUUCUGUUCGAAUCCCGUUGAUCGCAACAAAUCAAACGAAAAUACAGAUAUUUACUAAAAACUUUCACUUUACUUGACAUUACGGCGACGUUAAAAAUUAUUAAAUGUACUUUUAACAUGACAAACUUAGCGGAAGAGCGUAUAAUUGGAACUCGAUUUACUUAAUGUAGGAUCAAAAAUGGAUAUUACAACAAAUUCUGGAACUUAAAUUCAGGAAACCUCUCGGCCACCUUUGGAUAAUUCUCUCUCGGUAUUACUUCCAUUUCUGCGAACAAAUAUACCAUCUAAAUUAUCAAAACAGAACAUCUGCCUUAAAUUAUAUUUUCUAUAAUUGGAAUCAAAACAACAAAACAAUAUAUGUACAUAACUCAACAAAUAAAAAAUAGCAGUCUGAAAUCAACAACAAUAAGGGCAUAACCGGAAGCAAACCAAAUCACUAGCAAUCGCAACGAUUCCAAACUGAAAACACAAUUCAAGUGAUCGACAAAAUUCAAACCAAUUAAUAUCAACAAUAAGCCAAAAUUAGCGAAAUCUCAACAAAAUUCAAAAGUUACCGUAAUCGCAAAAUUAUCAAAAAUAUAUAUAAUAGAAAUGAUGGAAAUAAAUCAAAAAAAGCAAACCAAGCAAUAAAUAAAUGACAACUUUUACCGGCGACUGAACCUUUCCGCUCGAUAUUGAAAAGCAAGCCGAUCAGUUGAACUUGCUAGCCAAGAUGAUAAAGUAAAUCAGUAUUUCAUAGACGACGUAUCGAAGAACAGGCAGUAAUGUCGCCGGUUAGCCGACGAAAGAUGUUUUCUUUAUUUACAAAAUUCAAAAUCAUAAUCAAAAUCGGUGAAGAAAAAUUCCACUACUAAAGCAGAUUUCAAAUAUGAAAAUAUUGCACAGUGCAUUUUAACCAAUAUGCUUACAUUUAUAAGUAUAUUACACAGUUUGAUUUCCUCUAAGUUACAACAUUUUGAUAUUCAUUUGUUCAUUAUCCUCCUAACUUUUAAUUUUGAUCAAAGACUUUUCAACGACAUCUACAUAACAAGAGCAAAAAUUAAGAGGUGUAUUCUAUGUUAUUACCAUAUAAGUAAACGUUGAAGCAAAAGAGAAACUGAUAAAUUUAGAAGAGAAACAAAAUUUAUAUAAACAUUGCUCAACGAUUCAAAAAGACAAACCAAAUUCUAAUAAUAUAAAACACUGCGAAAAAAGAUUAAUUAGGAAAACAUAACAAAAAUCAACAUAAAAAGUUUUAAAUAUCUUAAAACGAUUUUGUUCAACUGUAAUUAAAUAAAAAUCCUAUAUGUUGUGACAUCGUCUUGAAUGAUCUUUAUUUGACGCAUUCUUCAUUCAUUAGGAUGAGUGAUAGGAGGUGAACGAAAGCUAUUCAAAAAACAAUGAAAGUAAAAUAUUAGAGGGAUGUGUGCAUAUUAUGUUAGGAUAAAACAGAUAAGAAAAUACAAUUAAGGAAAAUUCAAUUUUAAGCCCGACUUACUUAAACUUACUUUUUAAUUGUAUGUAAACACAGAAAUGUAGCAUUUAUGAUUAUUGUAUAACUGGAUAGGCAUAAAAUUAUACGCCUCUCUUUUUGGAUGAAUCGAAGAAGCUCAAUAACAAUGCAAAUGUGCACAAUACGAUAUAAAAGCAAAAAAAAAGCAAAGAUUACAUUAAACACAUCCAUAAAUCAAUAAAGACAAAACUAGUUUUAAUAUUAAUAUUAUUGGCUUUAUGAAAAAUAUACAUGCAUACAUUUAUGCACGCUAAAGCUAAACAGUCAAAAACAACAACAAUGACUUUAUAACCUAUAACUGUGUAUAACAAACCUACAUUUAACGUACAGAUUUAUGCAUAUACACCAAACUACAUACACACAUAAAUACAUACAUACAUACAUACAUACAUACAUACUUACAUACUAUAAAUGCGUGUCACUCACAUCUAUGUACACAUGCACACAUAAAUAAGUAUGUAUUUGGUAUGUUAUAAAGUAAGUAAAAGUAUAUGUGUAAUCUUGUAACACGUUUCAUAAGCAUACAUAAAUACGAGAUUACAAUUCAAACAUACGUGCAUACAUACAUAUGUAAAUUUGUUCAUACAUAAAUACAUACAUCUAUAAUUAUGUCUAAUUUAAACAUAACGAAAUGUGUACUAUAUUUACCAAGUUCGAACAUUCCACUGUUUUCCGAAACGCAUCAGCUCUUCCGGUUGCUCACCGGCAUGAUACUUACUGUAUGUACAUACAUGCGUAUAUACCUGCAUGUAUGCAUACAAUGCAAAAUUACACUUAUUAAUUAUACUAUAUACAUAUAUAACAAAUAUAUAUAUAUAUGUUAUAUGUAAACUAUUGUAUGAGGUAGACUUAUAUAGUGAGGUUUCAUGCUCUCAUUCACAGUUUAUAACAGUAAUUUACAAAUGAUUUUAUAACCGGAUUUCCGUUUUUUAACGUCUUUAAUGCGGCUGUUUCUUGAGUUAUAUUAUUUACAGCACUACCAAAUGGGAGUUAGAAGUGUGGCUCCUAUUUACAAGUAUAAUAUGUUUAUUUAAUUUUUCAUAUUUUCCAACUUCAUAUUAACUCCAGACAAGUUCUUUCAUUGGCGUCAGUUAACUUCCAACGCUGAUUCUGAACCAAAGUCUCCACAAAUAAACUGAUUUCUUUUCUGAUUUCUGAAAUGAGACUCCAUGAAGAACGCGAUCGCAAAAUAAGUAAUAGUACAUUUAGCGCCCUAAUUCGAAGAAUUGAACGAUUCUCAAGGCAACAAAAUAACAAUAACUGGAUCUACAUUGAUAUAAACAACGUUAAGAGGCAAUAGCAUUGAUAUGGAAGGCGACACAAACAAAUUUAAAGUAACCGGCAACCGAUUUUUUGUUCAAAAUGCAAUUUUCGAAGUAGGCGGACAAUUUUAGAAUAAUAGGAAAAGUUUCGACAAUACCUUUGGCAAAUUCAUUUGGAAUCACUUUGGAAUUUUCAUGAUUACUUUAAGCAAAUAUUGAACAACCACAACAACCACAAAAGCAUCCAACUUUACCAUGAGCAGCCAAAAUGAAACAUAAACAAAUCGCACAUGGGCCAAAUCGUCCGAUCAAAAGUGCCUUCAAAACAAAUACUUAAAAAACGUUGAUUUUUUAAUAAAAAUAACAAACAAAAAAACAGAAAAAUUUUAGAAAAAUUAAAAAAUUAAAUUAAAAACUAAAAACGAACUGAAUCGUAGAAAACGAAUGAAUGAUUAACUAAAACGGGCCCAAAAUAGACCAAAACAAAAAUCAAAAUCUUCAAUUGUCGGAAUUAGAGCGCUUUUUGUGUAUAUUUUGUUAACAACGAACGACUUACUUUAUUUCAAAUACUUCAAAAGUUAAAAAACGAAGUAAUGUAAACGAAGAUGAGUGUAUGAAACUCACACAUUGAGGAUCUCAACGCAAAGCGGCUUAAUUUAUACCCGAUCAUAAUUCUUAGUUACUCUACCAUUAUGUGGCAGCAAUCUUUACUGAAAAAAAACUAAACAAAACUUUAUUUAAAAAGAUAAGCAAAAAGUAAAAAAAUAUAUAUAUAUUCUGAUAAUAUACUGAGAGUAGAGUAUACAUAAAUUAAUACAAAAAUUUAAACAUAAAGUAAACUCCCUAGGCAUAAGAAUAUGAGAACCUUUUAGGACUAAAUUAAUCAUGGUUAAGAUAUAUGCAUGUACAAGCAGGCGUUAAAUAAAUCAAAACUUGAGAUCAUAGAACGUGGUGGGAUAUAAUAAGGCUUUUAGUUGAGUCGAAAAUAAACAUAUUUAAACAAAAAAAAAAAACUCUUACAAAAGGGAUGUUAACUAAAUUGAACCAAGGAGCUAGGAUACCCUUUCAAUGCAAAGUGUGCUAGCAAGCGCAUUUUGGAUUGACGUCAAAAAACUAAUUAAAAAUUUUAAUUAUAAGCAAUUAGAAAAAAAACUUUAAGAAAUCUUGUCUUAAGCAUACCAGAACCCGCCAAAAAUGGCUAAUAAACAUAAUUUUAUAAUACUAAGCGAAAAAACUUGCUCCAAAAACUUAACAUAAGGCAGAGUCUGAUGUGUUUCGUGAAAUUAGCGGCCGCGAAAAUUCCAYGAAUAUUAAAACGUUUCAAAUGUAAAUCUUCAACAGAAUUGAUAUUWAAACACGGUUAAUCUUUUAUUAGUAUUUUGUUAAAAACGACUUCAAUUGAUGCUAUUUUUAGGACUUUGUACACACUUCAUAUUUUUUCAUAACAUUGAUUAGACAAUGGAAAUCAAUUUUCCAACAUACUAAUUGUGCAUUUUUGUCAUCACAAUCUUCAAAGCAGCUUUUGAAGCAGUAAUGGAGUUWUAGGUUCGAAUUUCUCAUAUGUGUACCAUUAUUAAUUGAAAACUUUAUGUUUGAGCUCUUACAACAACAAGGAGGCAAUUAGUAAAUAAAAAAAAGUUAUUUAGUUAAACUGCAAUAGACCGGAAUUAUUUCCAUGAGAUAGUACAAACAAUUUAGGAUUAAAGUUUAUAUAUAUACAUAUAUAAAUCGCUUAUACGUUAAUGAAAUAAACGUAACACUAAGAGCUAUAAGCCAAAAAAAAA